UAUGUGAUCGUCUCUCGCAUAUCAAUAAGCGGAGGAAAAGAAACUAACAAGGAUUCCCCUAGUAACGGCGAGUGAAGCGGGAAGAGCUCAAAUUUGAAAUCUUAAAGGGUUUCCCUUUACGAAUUGUAGUUUAAAGAAGUGUUUUCUGUUGAGGUUUUGGUAAAAGUUCUUUGGAAUAGGACAUCAUAGAGGGUGAGAAUCCCGUAUUUGACCUUUACUUUCAACUUUGUGAUACACUUUCAAAGAGUCGGAUUGUUUGGGAAUGCAGUCCAAAAUGGGUGGUAAAUUUCAUCUAAAGCUAAAUAUUGGCGAGAGACCGAUAGCGAACAAGUACCGUGAGGGAAAGAUGAAAAGAACUUUGAAAAGAGAGUUAGACAGUACGUGAAAUUGUCAAAAGGGAAGCGUUUGACACCAGUGUUGUUUUUCUGAAAAUCAAUUAAAGAACUGUUUAUGCUAAGCUGUUUAGACUUUAUCAGCUAACUGUUUAGUUUUGAGCUUUUCUCUAUUGCACUUUUCAGUUAACAAGUCAACAUCAAUUUCUUUUGCUGUAAAAAAGCUUGAGGAAGGUGGCUUGAGAUUCGUCUUAAGUGUUUAUAGCCUCUUGCCUAUGCAGUCGGAGAGAUUGAGGUCUGCAGCGUAGAUCCUUCGGGGCUAAAUGCAUUUGUGCUAAGUUAUAGCAUUUUAUAGACAACUUGUUGACUAUGAUUUGUCUUGUAGCUUACUCGCUUAUGUUAUUUUACCUACGCUUAGGAUGUUGAGUAGCGACAUACGCAC
rnacentral:rRNA from 1 species